GGCCGGUUAGAUCAGUCAGUAGAGCAUAGCGCUAACAACGCUAAGGUCAUGGGUUUGAUUCCCGUUCGGUCC
rnacentral:tRNA from 1 species